rnacentral:rRNA from 1 species
CUGGCGGCGUGCCUAAUACAUGCAAGUCGAGCGAGAAUCAGCAGAUCGGAGAUUCGUCAAAGUGAAACUGAGGAAAGCGGCGGACGGGUGAGUAACGCGUAGGCAACCUGCCCUUAGCAGAGGGAUAGCCAUUGGAAACGAUGAUUAAAACCUCAUAAUGCUGUUUUUACACAUGUAGAGACAGCCAAAGAUUUAUCGGCUAAGGAUGGGCCUGCGUCUGAUUAACUAGUUGGUGAGGUAACGGCCCACCAAGGUGACGAUCAGUAGCCGACCUGAGAGGGUGAUCGGCCACAUUGGAACUGAGACACGGUCCAAACUUCUACGGAAGGCAGCAGUAAGGAAUCUUGCACAAUGGGGGAAACCCUGAAUGCAGCAACGCCGCGUGAACGAUGAAGGCCUUAGGGUUGUAAAGUUCUGAUCUGUGGGAAGAAGAAGCGACGGUACCACAGGAGAAGGCCCCGGCUAAAUACGUGCCAGCCGCGGC